GAUGAACGCUGGCGGCGUGCCUAAUACAUGCAAGUCGAGCGAAUGGAUUAAGAGCUUGCUCUUAUGAAGUUAGCGGCGGACGGGUGAGUAACACGUGGGUAACCUGCCCAUAAGACUGGGAUAACUCCGGGAAACCGGGGCUAAUACCGGAUAACAUUUUGAACCGCAUGGUUCGAAAUUGAAAGGCGGCUUCGGCUGUCACUUAUGGAUGGACCCGCGUCGCAUUAGCUAGUUGGUGAGGUAACGGCUCACCAAGGCAACGAUGUGUAGCCGGCCGGAGAGGGUGAUCGGCCACACUGGGACUGAGACACGGCCCAGACUCCUACGGGAGGCAGCAGUAGGGAAUCUUCCGCAAUGGACGAAAGUCUGACGGAGCAACGCCGCGUGAGUGAUGAAGGCUUUCGGGUCGUAAAACUCUGUUGUUAGGGAAGAACAAGUGCUAGUUGAAUAAGCUGGCACCUUGACGGUACCUAACCAGAAAGCCACGGCUAACUACGUGCCAGCCGCCGCCGUAA
rnacentral:rRNA from 1 species